UACGGGGGGGGCAAGCGUUGUUCGGAAUUACUGGGCGUAAAGGGCUCGUAGGCGGCCAACUAAGUCAGACGUGAAAUCCCUCGGCUUAACCGGGGAACUGCGUCUGAUACUGGAUGGCUUGAGAUUGGGAGAGGGAUGCGGAAUUCCAGGUGUAGCGGUGAAAUGCGUAGAUAUCUGGGGGAACACCGGUGGCGAAGGCGGCCUGCUGGGCAGUGGCUGACGCUGAGGCGCGACAGCGUGGGGAGCAAACAGG
rnacentral:rRNA from 1 species